GAGCUUGCUCUUCGAUUCAGCGGCGGACGGGUGAGUAAUGCCUAGGAAUCUGCCUGGUAGUGGGGGACAACGUUUCGAAAGGAACGCUAAUACCGCAUACGUCCUACGGGAGAAAGCAGGGGACCUUCGGGCCUUGCGCUAUCAGAUGAGCCUAGGUUGGAUUAGCUAGUUGGUGAGGUAAUGGCUCACCAAGGCGACGAUCCGUAACUGGUCUGAGAGGAUGAUCAGUCACACUGGAACUGAGACACGGUCCAGACUCCUACGGGAGGCAGCAGUGGGGAAUAUUGGACAAUGGGCGAAAGCCUGAUCCAGCCAUGCCGCGUGUGUGAAGAAGGUCUUCGGAUUGUAAAGCACUUUAAGUUGGGAGGAAGGGCAUUAACCUAAUACGUUAGUGUUUUGACGUUACCGACAGAAUAAGCACCGGCUAACUCUGUGCCAGCAGCCGCGGUAAUACAGAGGGUGCAAGCGUUAAUCGGAAUUACUGGGCGUAAAGCGCGCGUAGGUGGUUUGUUAAGUUGGAUGUGAAAGCCCCGGGCUCAACCUGGGAACUGCAUCCAAAACUGGCAAGCUAGAGUACGGUAGAGGGUGGUGGAAUUUCCUGUGUAGCGGUGAAAUGCGUAGAUAUAGGAAGGAACACCAGUGGCGAAGGCGACCACCUGGACUGAUACUGACACUGAGGUGCGAAAGCGUGGGGAGCAAACAGGAUUAGAUACCCUGGUAGUCCACGCCGUAAACGAUGUCAACUAGCCGUUGGAAUCCUUGAGAUUUUAGUGGCGCAGCUAACGCAUUAAGUUGACCGCCUGGGGAGUACGGCCGCAAGGUUAAAACUCAAAUGAAUUGACGGGGGCCCGCACAAGCGGUGGAUGAUGUGGAUUAAUUCGAUGCAACGCGAAAAACCUUACCUACCCUUGACAUGUCUGGAAUGCCGAAGAGAUUUGGCAGUGCUCGCAAGAGAACCGGAACACAGGUGCUGCAUGGCUGUCGUCAGCUCGUGUCGUGAGAUGUUGGGUUAAGUCCCGCAACGAGCGCAACCCUUGUCAUUAGUUGCUUCGAAAGGGCACUCUAAUGAGACUGCCGGUGACAAACCGGAGGAAGGUGGGGAUGACGUCAAGUCCUCAUGGCCCUUAUGGGUAGGGCUUCACACGUCAUACAAUGGUCGGGACAGAGGGUCGCCAACCCGCGAGGGGGAGCCAAUCCCAGAAACCCGAUCGUAGUCCGGAUCGCAGUCUGCAACUCGACUGCGUGAAGUCGGAAUCGCUAGUAAUCGCGGAUCAGCAUGUCGCGGUGAAUACGUUCCCGGGUCUUGUACACACCGCCCGUCACACCAUGGGAGUGGGUUUUACCAGAAGUAGUUAGCCUAACCGUAAGGAGGGCGAUUACCACGGUAGGAUUCAUGACUGGG
rnacentral:rRNA from 1 species